rnacentral:rRNA from 1 species
CCUACGGGGGGCAGCAGUGGGGAAUAUUGGACAAUGGGGGGAACCCUGAUCCAGCCAUGCCGCGUGUGUGAAGAAGGCCCUCGGGUUGUAAAGCACUUUCAGUGAGGAAGAACGCCUGGUGGUUAAUACCCAUCAGGAAAGACAUCACUCACAGAAGAAGCACCGGCUAAUUCCGUGCCAGCAGCCGCGGUAAUACGGAGGGUGCGAGCGUUAAUCGGAAUUACUGGGCGUAAAGCGCGCGUAGGUGGCUUGAUAAGCCGGUUGUGAAAGCCCCGGGCUCAACCUGGGAACGGCAUCCGGAACUGUCAAGCUAGAGUGCAGGAGAGGAAGGUAGAAUUCCCGGUGUAGCGGUGAAAUGCGUAGAGAUCGGGAGGAAUACCAGUGGCGAAGGCGGCCUUCUGGACUGACACUGACACUGAGGUGCGAAAGCGUGGGUAGCAAACAGGAUUAGAUACCCCUGUAGUC